UACGAAGGGUGCAAGCGUUACUCGGAAUUACUGGGCGUAAAGCGUGCGUAGGUGGUUCGUUAAGUCUGUCGUGAAAGCCCCGGGCUCAACCUGGGAAUGGCAUUGGAAACUGGCGAGCUGGAGUGUGGCAGAGGGGGGUGGAAUUCCGCGUGUAGCAGUGAAAUGCGUAGAGAUGCGGAGGAACACCGAUGGCGAAGGCAGCCCCCUGGGCCAACACUGACGCUCAGGCACGAAAGCGUGGGGAGCAAACAGG
rnacentral:rRNA from 1 species